GACGAACGCUGGCGGCGUGCUUAACACAUGCAAGUCGAACGGAAAGGCCCUGCUUUUGUGGGGUGCUCGAGUGGCGAACGGGUGAGUAACACGUGAGUAACCUGCCCUUGACUUUGGGAUAACUUCAGGAAACUGGGGCUAAUACCGGAUAGGAGCUCCUGCUGCAUGGUGGGGGUUGGAAAGUUUCGGCGGUUGGGGAUGGACUCGCGGCUUAUCAGCUUGUUGGUGGGGUAGUGGCUUACCAAGGCUUUGACGGGUAGCCGGCCUGAGAGGGUGACCGGCCACAUUGGGACUGAGAUACGGCGCAGACUCCUACGGGAGGCAGCAGUGGGGAAUAUUGCAGAAUGGGCGGAAGCCUGAUGCAGCAACGCCGCGUGCGGGAUGACGGCCUUCGGGUUGUAAACCGCUUUCGCCUGUGACGAAGAGUGAGUGACGGUAAUGGGUAAAGAAGCACCGGCUAACUACGUG
rnacentral:rRNA from 1 species